AGCGGCGGAUGGGUGAGUAACACGUGGGGAACCUGCCCCUAAGUCUGGGAUACCAUUUGGAAACAGGUGCUAAUACCGGAUAAUAAAGCAGAUCGCAUGAUCAGCUUUUGAAAGGCGGCGUAAGCUGUCGCUAAGGGAUGGCCCCGCGGUGCAUUAGCUAGUUGGUAAGGUAACGGCUUACCAAGGCGACGAUGCAUAGCCGAGUUGAGAGACUGAUCGGCCACAUUGGGACUGAGACACGGCCCAAACUCCUACGGGAGGCAGCAGUAGGGAAUCUUCCACAAUGGACGCAGGUCUGAUGGAGCAACGCCGCGUGAGUGAAGAAGGUUUUCGGAUCGUAAAGCUCUGUUGUUGGUGAAGAAGGAUAGAGGUAGUAACUGGCCUUUAUUUGACGGUAAUCAACCAGAAAGUCACGGCUAACUACGUGCCAGCAGCCGCGGUAAUACGUAGGUGGCAAGCGUUGUCCGGAUUUAUUGGGCGUAAAGCGAGCGCAGGCGGAAAAAUAAGUCUAAUGUGAAAGCCCUCGGCUUAACCGAGGAACUGCAUCGGAAACUGUUUUUCUUGAGUGCAGAAGAGGAGAGUGGAACUCCAUGUGUAGCGGUGGAAUGCGUAGAUAUAUGGAAGAACACCAGUGGCGAAAGGCGGCUCUCUGGUCUGCAACUGACGCUGAGGCUCGAAAGCAUGGGUAGCGAACAGGAUUAGAUACUCCUGGUAGUCCAUGCCGUAAACGAUGAGUGCUAAGUGU
rnacentral:rRNA from 1 species